GCUUUCCUAUGGCUAUUUUCAUGUCUAUUUCUACAAGUAUGAAGUAGGAGGAGCUGCAAUGAACAUUUCACAGGAGCAGAUCCUGUUCAAGAUCAAUAAACUAACUUCCAUAAGCUUUGGCCCCAGUUUAUGUACUUUGGAGUGGAAUUCUAAAAAAAUAAAAAUGCCAGAACCAAUAUACAGCUCUGAGCAGACAGAGGGUUUAUCAUAUUCCUAUUUUAUGAUUCUUUUGCCAGAGGGAAUCUUUUAUCAUAACUGUGCUGGUAUUGUUGCAUUCAUUAAAGAAAAAAAAAAAAAGAGGAAAUUAUAUUGCUCACCCAGUGUUUCAUUUCUGAUGAGUAGUCCCGCACACCAUGGGAGCUCAGAGGCAGGCAUGUACGGGAAAGCCCUCUGACCUCCCCAUGGCACUAGGUGGCCUCAACAGCACAAGGGUGAUACUCCCCAUUUUGCCAUCGCCCGUGUGUUUGAACAGCAAAGGCGGGUGGUGGCUCUGUGCUGCUCUCUGAGGGGUUUUUAGGGGGUUCGCCAAGGAGGCAGCAGCGGGAGUGGAGCUUGACUCGCUGCCCAGAGCCCGAAGAGUUGCGGAUGCUGAGCAGCCGUAAACCAUCAGCUCUGCUCCAGGAUGGGACUGGGGGGAGGGUGAGAAAGAAAAUACGGUGUUUUUUUCUCAGAAUAACAACCCCUUUACUUCCUCAGAUGGGCUGUGUGCACAGAGGAGUUGCUCACCUGAGUACACUGGGUCAAUACAAAUUGCUCAGUGGUGGUUUUUACCCCAGCUGAAGAGCCAAAGUUUGGGAUUCUUUCACCCUUUCUUUAGCCUGAGUGUCUCCCCACCUCUGUCUGCUGGGGGCUGCUUUAGGCACAGCUGGCCUAACCAGCAGGAGCUGUAGCACAUCUUUCAGACCAGAUCAUGCUAGUGUUUAUAUGAAGUUAACAGAAGGAUUUAAGGCAAAUUCACAACACGAGUGAAACAUCCUGGCUGUGUGUAAAUCCCCAUCAGAUGGCAUGUAGUUUCCAAGGUAAUAUACAAUGCAUGGAGGAAAUACAUCCUUGCAUCCCCCAAGGCAGUGAGCGAGAACAGACUGUGGCUGUGCUCCUCGGAAUCCUUUUGAAUAGCUCUUGUACCCACGGGGAGCUCGAGGGCACAGGAAGCCUGAAAGCACACGGGGACAGCAGGUCACUCUGCAGCCGAGGAUGGGCACAUCAGCACUUGGGCACCAAGACCUUCGUUGGGUGGGGAAGCUUUAUAGGGACAGGAAAGAUAUUUGUGGUUUUUUACAUUUAUUUUUUUUACGUUGGAAGGAUGACUGAAGAAUUUUAUAACUGUUUCAUUUAAAUGCUGAGCUCUCAAGAAACUGCAGCCAGCCUCCUGCCAACUCCAUGUGCGCACUUACGGUCGGUCUGCAGGUGUCAGACAGUUGGGAAGAAAUGUGGGUGGAAAGAAUCAUUUGGAGCAUAUUGGAUUUUAAUGAAACAAACUGUUUCUGGGAUAAUCUUUAAUCUUCUCUGUGUCCUCACGGUGAUCGGGAGCCAGCCUUUUUAUGCAUUGCUAACUAUUCGGAGCAGACUAUUGCUACACCCUGCAGCUGAAGCCAGACUUUAAAAAAUCUUUAGAUACCUAAUUCCCUCUAAAAUCAAUACUUGCUAAUUAGCACACGUAUUUAGCUUCACACACAUACAUAUAAAUUGCAUAUUAGUGAUGCCCUGCACAAAUAUAUGCCUUGGUCUCCAGACAUUAUUUAGAAAGAUAUGUUAGAGGAGUUGAGAAGGUACCUGCAGAUCAAUUAGUAUCCCAAAUUACUGCUCUUGGAUGCUGGUUGUUCUAGGUCCACAUGCAGCUGGGCUUUUCCUGGUGGAGGUUUGCCCCUGCUGUAAGGUGGUUAGGUGACCUGUCUGUGCCUUUUCCCUCUUCAAAUUUAAUCUUUACAGGGUUGAAGACAUGUUUAUGGGAUUAGGGAGCUUGAGAGUACUUUUUUCCCUGGAAUUUGUUGUGGUGUGUAAGGGGAAAUUGUAGCAGAAAAGGCAAAGAGAGCAAUUGGCCUUUCAAGUUUCCACCCAUCCCUGGGUAUUUCUAAGGGAGAGGCAAUCAACCCCACAUCACGUGACUUUUCCUUCUCUAAUGCAGAGAGGAGUAGGGGCUGAAGUCCUCCCUCUCCCCAGCUGAAAGGAGGUGACCUGGGCGUAGUUAAACAUCAACGUAUAAAGCCUUAAAUUAUGUGCUAAACUGCAAAACAAAACCUGAAAGCAGCUGGUGAUUGCUUAUAGUAAUGCAGAAUGGAAAAGAAAGAAUGCAAAAUGAGCAAAAUGCCAAAAGAUGUAAUUCCCUUCAAAACAUGAGCCUGAGAGACCCCGGGGAGGGGGUCGGACACAGGGGCAGGCAGGUGCCUGUGCCUGUGAUGGUGCAGUAGGAAGGCACAGCUCACUUUGCUGCUUUGGAUAUUCACAUCACUGUGUGCCAGAGGGCUGAGAUGCCUGUCCUUGCUGAGCAGAAAAACCCAAUCCACCAUGAAACUGCUUGAACCCCUUUUUUUGGAUUUAGGUGAAAAGCCCUUUUUUCCCUUCCACGUUUGGCAGGUCUUGGCCCUGUUUCCCAGCUUCAGCUGGUACAUCCUUCUCAGAAGGCCUAGGGCUAGCUCUGGGUGCUGCUUCUUGGGGCGUUGCUUUCCAACUGGGGCACUCCGUUUUGGAGUAAAAUGAGGGUAGAAGAGAUGUUCAGGAAGGUGUGGGAUGACAUACAAUUCUCCCUGCUCCUUAGCUGGGCAGUAAAUAUUCAUAUUCUUAAUGUUACCUAUUUUAAUGCAGCUUUGUUGACCAAGUACACAACAUGCAUAUGUUUACUCUUUUCUUUUUUUCUUUUUUUUUUUUCCCCUUCCUUUCUGAUGAGAGAAAAAAAGAUCUAUGCAUACACCUCAGAGGCACCAACUACUUUUGGCUAACAGAUUGGUGCUGCUCUACUGCAACUGGUCUUUUUUCAAGAAGUACUGAAGACCCUUCAACCCCAAGUGAACUGAACUGAGAUGCAGGGAAGGGAAACCUGGGGCAUCUGUGAGUGGUCAUGCAAACUGCAGGUACCCAAAAUCAGGAGUCUGUUGAUCAAAUCCAGCGCUGGACUCAUCUUUGGAAGCUCCUAGGUACUUUAAAUCUGGGAUUUCAACAUAUUUCCAGCAAGAUAUUAUGCAGCAGGAAUCUGCAAAAUGAAGCCAUGCCCUGAUCCUGGAGGGGGAAGAUGGAUGCUGUGCUCGGGUCCUAGGUCUGUCUGCCAGAGGGGACUGUGCUGGUUGCAGUGGAGACUGAGGCAGGUGUUAUUUCUGCCACCAGGAAAAUAAGUAAGAGGAGCAGAGGCAAAAUAGGCACCCACUGAGCACAUUGCACCUCCAGUGCUGGACCAAGCGUCGCACCCAGCAGAGCUCCAC